rnacentral:rRNA from 1 species
AUAGCGUAUAUUAAAGUUGUUGCAGUUAAAAAGCUCGUAGUUGGAUUUCUGCAGGAGUGCCAAUGUCCGCUGUUGCGUGUGCAGCGGCGCUCCUGCAUCCUUCUGUUAACGUUUCUUGGUAUUCAGUUACUGGUUUCGGGCUCAGAUAUUUUACCUUGAGAAAAUUAGAGUGUUUCAGGCAGGCUUGCGCCGGAAUACAUUAGCAUGGAAUAAUAGAAUAGGACUUGGGUCUCCUUUGUUGGUUUGAGGGACUUAAGUAAUGAUUAAUAGGGAUAGUUGGGGGCAUUAGUAUUUAAUUGUCAGAGGUGAAAUUCUCGGAUUUGUUAAAGACUAACUUAUG